UGCACUUAUGUAUGUUUUUGUUUAAUGUGGACAAAGACUUAUGCAUAGGUGCAAAAAAUAAAUCCUCUUUUGCAACCCAGAACUCAUUGUUCAGUAUGAGUUUUGAUACAUAGAAGAAGGGAUAUU
ensembl:snoRNA